AGGGCUUGACAUCCCCCUGACGGGCCGAGAGAUCGGUCGUCCCUUCGGGGCAGGGGAGAU
rnacentral:rRNA from 1 species